AUGGGUCGCAUUCAGGAAGUGGGCUUGGUGACUGCAGGACUGAUGUUCUGGGCUGGUGCCUGCUACUGCAUUUACAGAUUAACCAAGGGAAGAGCCCAGAGUGUGAGGCGACUUACCAGAAAUGGGUCCAAAGUCAAGAUGGAGACUGUGGCUGGGAUACAAAAGCAGACCUUGGCCAUGUGUGAAGCCAUGGUUGGGACAGAGAUUGAGACUAGACCCAAGCCCAAGACCGGAGCAGAAGCUGGAGCAAGAGAUAGGUCUGGAGCUGAAGUAGAGACUAAGGUCACUGCUACAGACAGAAGCAAAGCCUAUUCUCAAGCCAAGGCAAUGGCUGAGGCAGAGACAGAGACCCAAUCUGAGGCCAAAACGGUGGCUGGAACAGUGAUAAUAACAGAGGCAGUGAUUCUGACUGACACCAAAGCCAAUGAAGUGGCCAUGAGGGAGGCAGUGACCCAAACUGACUCUGGGUCUGGGAAACUGAUCAAGAAAGAGGCAGUGACCCAGACCAAAGCUAAAGCUUGGGCACUUGCUACUAAGGUAGAGACCAAGAAAGAAGCAAUGACCCAGACCAAAGCAGAAGCUCAUAUAUUGGCCGAAAAAGAGAUAGAAAUGAACAGCGUGGUGGUGACACAGAAUGAGGCCUUGACAGUAAUCAGGGAAGUGACCAAGACGGGCACCAUAAACAAGAUCAGAAGUGUGGCUGACACCAAGGCAAGAGCCCUGGAAGAGACUGUGAGUGUGGCUAAGACUCUGUCUGAGGUCUGGUCUGGUACCUCAGUUGAUGCUCAGGGAAAUCCUAAUUUUGUGUCCAAGGCAGAAGCUGGAGCAGUCAUGAAGCCCUGUUCACUGUCUCAGGUUGUGGCCGAGAUCCAGAUUGACAGUGUUCUUGGUACUGAGGUUGAGGCCAAGGGGAAUUGCAAAACCAUGUCUCAGGCAGGGUCUUUGGCAGAUAUGAGGGCUUCUGCUCAGCCUCAAGUUGUAGCCAAGGCCCAGGCUGAGGCCAUGCUUGGGGUGGCAGUUGAUGUAGGGGGUAAUACCAAGGCCAUGUGUGAAGCAGGGGUUGGGGCAGAUACAAGUGUUUCUCCACAAUCUCAGACUGUGACCAAGAAACAGGCUGAGACAGUGUCUGGUGCCAGGGUUGAUGACAGGGCAAAUGCCAGUGUCAUAUCUAGGGCAAUGAUGGGAGCUGACAUGACGGCUGCCACACAGCCUCUAGUUGUAGCCAAUACUCAGAUUGAAUUUGCGCCUGAUGCCUGGGUUAAGGGUAGAGAUGGUCCCUAUGCUGUAUCCAUGGUGAGGGCUGGAACAGACACUGAGUCCCAUAUGCCGCCUCAGCCUAUGAUCCGUGUCCAGGCUGAUGCUGUGCCUGAUGACAGGGUUAAGGCUCAAGGCAAUGCCAACACCAAGUCUAAAGAAGAAGCUGGGACAGACAGAAAGGCACAGUCUCAGACUUUGACCAAGAGCCAGGCUGAGGCUCUGCCUACCACCAGACGUAAAGCUAGGAGCAAAGCCAAAGGCAAGAGUAAGGCAGGGCUUGGAAUGGAGAUGAAAACCUGUGCACAGCCUCAAGCUGGGGUUAGGGCCCAAGCUGAUGUUUCCCCUGAUUCCAGAAUUGAUGGCAAGGGUGAUCCUGAUGCUAUUUCCGGGGCAGGGGCUAAGGCAGAACUGAGGGCCUCUGGUGAACCUCAGGAUAUGGCCAUUUCUCAGAGCGAGGUCUUACCUGGUACCCAGAAUAAGGUCCAGGACAAUCCCAAUGCUGUUUCUAAGGCAGAGACUGGAUCAGAUACAAAGAACUCUGCUCAGUCCCAGGCUGUGGCCAGUUCCCAGGGGGAAGCCUUGCCUGGUGUCAAGAAGAAGGCUCUGGGCAGUGCCAGUGCUGUGUCUAAGACAGGGGCUGGUCCAGAUGCAAAGGGCUCGGCCCAGCCUCCGACUGAUGCAGUAGGCCCUGCCCAGCUCCAGGCUGUGGCCAGUUCCCAGGGUGAGGCUUUGUGUGGUGUCAAAAAUAAGGCUCGGGGCAAUGCCACUGCUGUGUCUAAAGCAGGGACUGGACAGGAUACAAAGAGCUCUGCCCAGCCCCAGGCUGUGGCCAGUACCCAGGGUGAGGCCUUGCCUGGUGUCAAGAAGAAGGCUCGGGGCAAUGCUGGUGCUGCGUCUAAGGCAGGGGCUGGGCCAGAUACCACAGGGCCUACUCAGCCCCAAGCUGUGGUCAGUUCUCAGAGUGAAGCCUCACCUGGUACUAAGAAUAAGGUCCGGGGCAAUCCCAAUGCUGCGUCUAAGGCAGGGGCUGGGUCAGAUGCAAAGGCCUCUGCUCAGACUCCAACAGAUACAACAGGCCCUGCUCAGCCCCAGGCUGUGGGCAAUUCCCGGGGUGAAGCCUUGCCUGUUACUAAGAAUAAGGCCCAGGGAAAUCCCAAUUCCAUGUCUACAGCAGGAACUGGGCCAGAUGCAACGUGUUCUCCCCAGCCUCAAACAGAUACAACAAACACUGCCCAGCCCCAAGGUAUGGUCACUUCUCAGGGUGAGGUCUUGCCUGGUGCCAAGAAUAACGUCAGGGGUAAUGCCAACAAUUUGUGCAAGGCAGAGGCUGGAGCAGACCCCGUGGGCUCUGCUCAGCCCCAAGCUGAGUCUGAUUCCCCAGGUGAAUCCUUGCCUGGUGCCAGAAGUAAGGUCUGGGGCAAUCCCAGUACUGUGUCUAAGGUGGACUCUGGACCAGAUACCAAAGGCUGUGUUCAACCACAAGCUGCAGCCAGUUCCCAGGGUGAGACCUCGUGUGGUACUAAGAAGAAGGCUCGGGAUAGUGCCAGUGCUGCAUCCAAGGCAGGGUCUAAGCCAGAUACCAAGGGCUGUGUUCAGCCCCAGGCUACAGCUAGUUCCCAGGGCGAGACCUCGUGUGGUACUAAGAAGAAGGCUCGGGGCAGUGCCAGUGCUGCGUCCAAGGCAGGUGCUGGGCCAGCUACAAUGGACUCUCUGCAGCUGCAAACAGAUACAACAGGCUCUGCCCCAUCCCAGGCUGUGGCCAGUUCCCAGGGAGAGGCCUUGCUUGGUGCCAGGAGUAAGGUCAGGGGCAAUCGCAUCACUGAGUCUAAGGGAGAGGCUGGAGCAGGUAUGGUGGGCUCUGGCCAGCAUCAAUCUUUAGCCCAUUCCCAGAGCAAGACCUCGUUGGGGGCAAAGGACAAGGCUAAGCAUAAGUGUGAGUCAGAAGCCGCAGGAGAUGUCUCUGUAAAGCCCAAGGCUAAGGCCACGCCUACUUCAGAGAGUGAAGGUGGGGCAGGCCCUCAGGCCUGCACAAAGUCUCAGACUAAGGUCCACGACUACUACUGGAAUGGGAUUGGCGUUGAGGACUGGGUUGCUUCAGAGCGAUGGAUCAAAUUUAGGUUUCAGGCUAGGGAUGGAUACUGGGAGAAUAGCACGUCCUGGGCUGAUGAUGAAAAUGAAGCCAAUACUGAGUCCUGGAGUGUGGCCAAGAGUGAGAAUGAGGUUGGUGUUCAGUCCUGGGCUGGAGCUGGGGACCAGGCCAGUGGAGGGUUCUGGGCUGGGAGUCAUGCCAGUCAACAGUCCUGGCCUGGGGGACAGGCCAAUGGAGGUUACUGGGUAGAGGCUACAGACAGGGCUGUUGGAGGGUCCUGGACUGUAGCUGAGAACCAGGCCAGUGGGACUUCUUGGGCUGGCACUGGGAACCAGGCUGUUGUGGUGCCCUGGACUGGAGCUCAGGUGAGUGACACUGCCUGGGCUGGGGGCCAGACCAGCGGGGUAUCUUGGACUGGGGGAGAGGCCAUUGGAGUAUCCUGGGCUGUGGUUGAGAACCAGGCCAGUGGAGCAUCCUGGACUGGGGCGGAGGCACAGGCUGGUGGAAGGUCCCAGGAUUCGGCUGGGAUUCAGGCCAAUGGAGCCUCCUGGGCCCAGGCUACAAGUGGGAAUGUGCUUAACAUUGGGUACUGGGCUGUGGCUGUGGACCAGACUACUGGAGGUUCCUGGAUUCUGACUAGUGACCUCUCUGGUGGUGCAACCUGGGUUGGGACUAGUGAUCUGGCCAAGCCUAGACUUGAGGUUCAGGCCAGUGAAAAUGUGUCCUGGACUGGGACUGGGCUGGGGCCUGAAAACCAGUCCAGUGGAAAGGCCUGGGCUGUCACUGCCAACCAAGCCAGUGGAGGAUCUGGGCUAGCGUCUGUGGAUCAGUCCAGUGGUGUGUCCUGGGUUACAACUGGAGAACAGGCCAGUGGAGGGGCUAGGCCAGGGAUUGUAGGCCAGUCCAGUGUUGGGUCCUGGUCUGGCACUGGGAACCAGGCCAGUGAAGGAUUAUUGGUUGGGACUGUGGAGCAGGCCAGUGGGGGUUCCUGGACUGGGACUGGUGAUCAGUCUCAUGGUGGGUCCAAGCCGGGAUUUGAGGAUGGACUUCAUGUCAGUGAAGAAGGUUCUUUGGCCCGUGCUGGUGGUCAGGCUGAUGGACAGUCUCGGUUGGGACCCGAGGAGCAGCCCAGUGGAGGGUCCUGGGCUAAUUCUGGGGACCAAGCCAGUGGAGGGUUCUUGGUUGGAGCUGCAGACCAGGCCAAUGAAGGGUCCUGGGUUGGACCUGGGCAUCAGGCUGGUAGUGAGGCAAAGCCUAGGUAUGAGGAUCAGGCCAAAUCUGGAAGAGUAUCUUGGGCUGACAGUGCAGGUCAGGCUAGUGGAGGGUCUAUACUGGGGCCAAGGGGCCAGCCUGUUGGAGAUUCCUGGGCUGCUAUUGGAGACCAAGCCAGUGGAGGAUCCAGGCCAGUGCCAGAGAAUCAGUCCAGUGGAUGGUUCUAUGCUUGCAGUGGGAGUCAGGCCCAUGCAGGAGGGUCCUGGGGUGGGGCUGGUGACCAGGUGGUUAGAGGGCCUGUGCUCGAGCCCAUGAACCAGUCCAGUGGUGGGUCCUGGGCUGAUACUGGGAGUCGAGCCAGUGGAGGGUCUUGGGCUGGGGCUGGGGCUGGGGCUCAGGCUGGUAGCUGUUCCAAACCUGGAUUUGAGGAUCAGGCCAGUGGUGGAGUGUUCUGGUCCAGUGCUCAGGACCAGGCCAUUGGAGGGUCUAGUCCAGGACUUGCAGACCAGGCCAGUGGUGGGUCCUGGACUGGCACUGGGAGUCAGGCCAGUGAAAGGUCCUGGAUUGUGACUGGGGAUCAAGGCAGUAUCUGUUCCAAAUCUGGAUUUGAGGAUCAGGCCAGUGGAGGAGGCUCCUGGGUUGGCACUGAGGGUCAGGCUUGUGGAAAAUCCUGGACUGGAUCUAAGCCUGCGAAUGAGGCCGGAAGAGCAUCUAGCAUGGGGCCUGAAGAUCAGGCAAGUGGAGGGUCGUGGAUGAGCCCUGGAGAUCAGCACAGUAGAAAUUCUCAGGUAAGAGCUGGGGUAGAGGCCAGGGAGGGAUCCUGGUUUGGAGCUGGGAGUGAGGCUAGCACAGGGUCUUGGUUCUGGAGAGGGGAAGAAGUUUGUAUUGUAUCUAGUCCUGGGAAUAAAAACGAAGCCAGUAUUAAAUCCAACUCAGUAGUUGGGAAAGAAGCCAUCAUUGGUUCCAGAUUUGGGGCCGAGAACAAGGCCAAUGUUGGGUCCUGGAUGAAAUCUGAUGAGGCUGUCUGUAUGGAUUCCUGUUUGGGAGCUGAGGCUGGAGCUGUGGCUGGAGCUGAGGCCAGGCAGGAGUCUUGGUUGUGGGAUGGAGAUGUAGCCACUACAGGGUCUAGGCUUGGGGCUAGGGCAGAGGCUAGUGGGCGGUCCUGGACUUUGGCUAGAGAUGUAGAUGAGGAUGAGCUAAGUAGAGCAUCCAGCCCUGAUAUUGAGGAGAUCAGUUUAAGGUCCUUGUUUUGGGCUGACAGUGAGAACAGUAAUGCAGUCAGAUCCAAGUGUGAGAAAGAUGUCAGUUUUGAGCGUGGGGCUAGACAUAAGGUCAGCAACAAGGACAAGCUGGAGGCUGCUGGUGGAGUCGAUGUAAAAUCUUGUUCCUGGGAUGGUAAAAGAAACAGAAGUGAGGAUAAAUCUGUGCCUAAGACUAAAGCCAAAAAGACAGCUGAGUCAAGAGUCUCAUGUCCGUCCAUGGUCCCUGGGGCAGGAAUGGGGUCAUGGGCAGGAGCCAUGAUCUGGACAGAAAUGAAAUUUCCAUACCAAAAUGAGUCUUGCUUCCCACCUGAAGAUGAACUCAGAAAGCAGAUUAGGUCUGGGGAGAAAACUCAGCCCUGGGUUUGCCGUUGUAAACGUGAAAAUAACGUGGAUCCACGAGAGCUCGAAAAACUCAUUUGCAUGAUUGAGAUGACUGAAGAUCCUUCUAUUCAUGAAAUAGCCAAUAAUGCUCUAUAUAACAGUCGUGAUUACCCAUUUUCUCAUGAAAUAAUUCGUAAUGCAGGUAGAAUCUCAAUUAUUGAAGGCUUGCUUAAUAAUCCCUACCCCAGUGUUAGGCAGAAGGCUUUAAAUGCACUGAAUAACAUCUCAGUGGCUGCUGAAAACCAUAGGAAGGUUAAAACCUACUUAAAUCAAGUAUGUGAAGACACCAUCACCUAUCCCUUGAAUUCAAAUGUGCAGCUGGCUGGACUGAGAUUGAUAAAGCACCUGACUAUUAUCAGUGAGUAUCAGCAUAUGGUUACAAAUUACAUUUCAGAGUUUCUUCGUUUGUUAACUGUGGGAAGUGGAGAAACUAAAGACCAUAUUUUGGGAAUGCUUUUAAAUUUCUCUAAAAAUCCCUCUAUGACAAAGGACUUGCUCAUUGCCAAUGCACCAGCAUCACUGAUUAAUAUCUUUAGCAAGAAAGAGACAAAGGAGAAUAUUCUGAAUGCUCUUUCACUAUUUGAAAAUAUAAAUUACCAUUUUAAAAGAAGAGCAAAAGUAUUUACCCAAGACAAGUUCAGUAAAAAUUCCCUUUAUUUCAUAUUCCAACGACCUAAAGCAUGUGCUAAGAAACUUCGCAUCUUAGCGGCAGAAUACAAUGACCCUGAGGUGAAAGAAAGAGUUGAGCUGUUUUUAAGUAAACUAUGA
rnacentral:lncRNA from 1 species